UGGCAGCUGACGGGGCACUGCCCUGCCUUGCCAUGCAGGCGCUGCAUCAGCAGCAGACGUGUCCCAAAGGAGCACCCUGGGCUCGCUGCCCCUUCUCCGGGGUUUAAAGGCCACUGAGCCCUCUGAGGGAUCGUCCCAACAUGUCCCAGCCGCGGCAAAGCCGGGCUCUCAUCAUCGUCAACACCGAUUUCUGCAGCAGUGAUGGCGACGUGGGGCUCAGGCCCCGAAGGGGAGCCAGGAGGGAAGCUGAGAAGCUCUCUCGUGUGCUGGCGCAGCUCAGCUACAGGGUGAAGCUGUUGCACAACAGGACGGCCAAGGAGAUGGAGGACCUCUACCAGCAAGAGUGCAGCCGUGAGCACGGGGAUUACUUCGUGAGCGUCAUCUCCAGCCACGGGGAGGAGGGGGCCGUGUUGGGCUGCGACUGCAGACCGCUGCGGCUCACCCGCAUCUUCCACAUCGUGUCGGCACAGAACUGCCCGGCGCUCGCGGAGAGACCCAAAGUCUUCUUCAUUCAGGAAAGGUGACCCUGCUGGCCUCAGCCUCCCUCCCAGAUGCCACCGAGGUGUCGAUGAGGCAUGUCGGGGGGCUGCGCUGGACCAGGGGGUGUUUGUGGAGACUGACAGCGGGCAGCCGGAGCCAGCCAGCUUCUCAGAGUACCUGCACAUCCCCCCCAACACCGCCGUGAUGUUCGCCUGCAGCCCUGGCUAUGGGGCCUUCCUGAACCCCGCGGGAUCCAUGUUCCUGCAGGCCCUGCUGGCGAUGCUGGCCGGGGAGGAGCGCUGUCUGGCCCUGAGCCGUAUGGCCACCCGCCUCAAUGCAGCUGUAGCCCUGGGCUGCCAGGCCCGCGGCACCUACGAGGGCUGCAAGCAGAUGCCCUGCUUCGUCACCAACCUGCCGCGGGACAUCUUCCCCUUCUCCGCUCAGAGUGAACCCCUUCCCAGCACGGACACGCAGGGAGGGAUGGAGGAGGAGGAGGAGGAGCGGCAGAAACCCACGGCCUCUUAGGGGGAAAUGGAGAAACACAACGGAAAGCCCCGCAGAAAGGUGCGCUGGGCUGUGCUGGAGCUGCCCGGGGUACGAGGAAAUUCUAGGGCGCAUCAUUCCCCGUCACGACGGAUUGGGAUGGAUGUCACCCUGCUGCUCCAUGGCAGCCCCUGAUGGCAGCGCCCGCACAGCCUCUCAGCCCCUCCAUCUCCUUCAUGAAAGAGCCGCAGUGCUGUGAACACCGCUCCGUGGGUUCUGUUAUCAGAGUGACCCUGCAAAGGCCCCGAAAAGGGGCUUUGUUUCCGAGGGAGGGAAGGCUGAUGUUUGCCUGCCUGCUGCCCUGCCCGCAAGGAAAACACUGCGCCGCUGUAAAGAUGGGGGCAAGCCCGAGCUCUCUGUGCCCACAAUUGUUUCUCUGCUCGAUGCAUAAGAAAUAAACAGAGACUGAUGGUCGAA